GAUGAACGCUAGCGGCAGGCUUAACACAUGCAAGUCGAGGGGCAGCAUGGCACGGAGAUUCGUCGAAGUGCUGAUGGCGACCGGCGCAAGGGUGCGUAACGCGUGAGCAACUUGCCCGUUUCAGGGGGAUAACCGGUGGAAACGCCGACUAAUACCCCAUAGCAUUGACUUUAGGCAUCUUUAGUCAAUUAAAGAAAUUCGGAAACGGAUAGGCUCGCGUGACAUUAGCUAGAUGGCGGGGUAACGGCCCACCAUGGCGACGAUGUCUAGGGGUUCUGAGAGGAAGGUCCCCCACACUGGAACUGAGACACGGUCCAG
rnacentral:rRNA from 1 species